ensembl:lncRNA
UUUUUUUUUUUUUUUUUUUUUUUUUUUUUUGAGACGGAGUCUCCCUCUGUCGCCCAGGCUGGAGUACAGUGGCCGGAUCUCAGCUCACUGCAAGCUCUGCCUCCCAGGUUUAUGCCAUUCUCCUGCCUCAGCCUCCCGAGUAGCUGGGACUACAGGCGCCCGCCACCUCGCCCAGCUAGUUUUUUUGUAUUUUUAGUAGAGACAGGGUUUCACCGUGUUAGCCAGGAUGGUCUCGAUCUCCUGAUCUCGUGAUCCGCCCGUCUCGGCCUCCCAAAGUGCUGGGAUUACAGGCUUGAGCCACCGUGCCCGGCCUUUAAUUAUUAUUUUUUUAGAGGCCUCAUGCUGUUGCCCAGGCGGCAGGCAGUGGUGCAAUCAUGGCUCACUGCAGCCUUGAACUCAUUAAGCGAUCCUCCCACCUCAGCCUCCUGAGUAGGUGGUACUAAAGGUGUGUGCCACCACUCCCAACUAACUUUUAAAUAUUUUUGGAGAGACAAAGUCUCACUAUGUGGCCCAGACUGGUCUCCAACUCCUGAUCUCAAACUGACCCUCCUGCCUCAGCCUCCCACAGUGCUGGCCUCCCGUUUUCAUUUUUCUUUUACCAGAUUGGCAUCUUACUGUAGAUCAGGUGUGGCCAUGUUCCUCCACUUGCAGUGGCCUUUAAAGAUGUGUUUGUAAGUGGCUCCAGGGCAGCCCAUCCUGGGACCUCUUCAUGUGGCACACACUGAGGUUGUUUCCCUGGCAGAUGCUGGGCACAGGAUGAUACUGGGCAGCUAGUAGGGCCAGGGGCUUGGCAGUGAUGAUUAGAGUAAGGGAUGGUGGGCAUGUUUGGUGAAGGAGGGGCAAGGUACAAGGUCUCCACCACAGCCAUGGGAGGCUCCUUCUCUCCUGGCUGGAGGGUCUCAGCCGGUGGGACACAGUGGAUGGGGGGUGUUGCCUGCAGCUCAGCACUGGGCCUGCCACUGCCUCUGCCUGUUACUUCCGCAGUCAUGGUCAUCCACUGAUUUCACUGUGACCUCAUCUCUUGUUGGCUGCUCCAUGCCCUGCAAGCAGAGCAGUACUCAGGAUAUGGUGGGUGCUCUGAGACCAAGUUACAAAUGCUUGCUGAGUAACCCUACAGAAAUGAACAUUCUUACCGUGGCCUCCACAUGGCCUUUCUGAGCGAGGCCCUGGGGCUGUGGGGAGGAUAAGCCUGCUCCUUUAGGAGGGUCACUGCAGAUGUGCAGAAUGACAAUAGGGUGCAGAGGUGACGGGGCAGAGCUGUCCCUGUGGCACAGCUCAUCCACACAGACUGGGUGAAUGCUCUGUGCCUCAUGCCAGCCCCAUGCACAGAACUGAGUCCUCAAACACAGAGGGGCUGAGUGACUCCCCAGGCCACACAACCUGUCUGGUUCUCCCCAUGGGACACUUCUCAGGCUCACCCGGAGCUUUCAAAAUGGAUUCCUUUGCUCAUGACCUGCUCUCAGCCUCAUGCGAAGCCUCAGACCAGACACAGCUAAUGACACAGUAAGGAAACAUGUGGACGUUUAGCGACGUGAAGGACCACCCAGCUGGCCCUAGAGUGUCUCGCCUGCCUG